AGAACGAACGCUGGCGGCAGGCUUAACACAUGCAAGUCGAACGCGUGUAGCAAUACACGAGUGGCGCACGGGUGAGUAACGCGUGGAUAUCUGCCUUUUGGUUCGGAAUAACCCCGGGAAACUGGGGCUAAUACCGGAUGGUUCCUACGGGAUAAAGAUUUAUCGCCAAAAGAUGAGUCCGCGUCCGAUUAGCUAGUUGGUGGGGUAAUGGCCUACCAAGGCGACGAUCGGUAGCUGGUCUGAGAGGACGAUCAGCCACACUGGGACUGAGACACGGCCCAGACUCCUACGGGAGGCAGCAGUGGGGAAUAUUGGACAAUGGGGCAACCCUGAUCCAGCCAUGCCGCGUGAGUGAUGAAGGCCUUCGGGUUGUAAAGCUCUUUUGGCGGGGACGAUGAUGACGGUACCCGCAGAAUAACGCCCGGCUAACUUCGUGCCAGCAGCCGC
rnacentral:rRNA from 1 species